rnacentral:rRNA from 1 species
GAUGAACGCUGGCGGCGUGCCUAAUACAUGCAAGUCGAGCGAACAGAUGAGAAGCUUGCUUCUCUGAUGUUAGCGGCGGACGGGUGAGUAACACGUGGGUAACCUACCUAUAAGACUGGGAUAACUCCGGGAAACCGGGGCUAAUACCGGAUAAUAUUUUGAACCGCAUGGUUCGAUAGUGAAAGACGGUUUCAGCUGUCACUUAUAGAUGGACCCGCGCCGUAUUAGCUAGUUGGUAAGGUAACGGCUUACCAAGGCGACGAUACGUAGCCGACCUGGAAGGGUGAUCGGGCACACUGGAACUGAGCCACGGUCCAGACUCCUACGGGAGGCAGCAGUAGGGAAUCUUCCGCAAUGGGCGAAAGCCUGACGGAGCAACGCCGCGUGAGUGAUGAAGGUCUUCGGAUCGUAAAACUCUGUUGUUAGGGAAGAACAAAUUUGUUAGUAACUGAACAAGUCUUGACGGUACCUAACCAGAAAGCCACGGCUAACUACGUGCCAGCAGCCGCCGUAA